CCUGCGGCCGCUGCUCCCACAAGCCCCGCCCCGCCGCUCUUGCUGAGCACUGAUUGGACAGCCGCUUGCGCAAGCGCACUCGCCUUCCGUUGUACGUUGGUGGAAAUGAAAUCAGGAAUCAUGGAGAGAAAUGGAAUCCUACCUGGAGUCAAGUGGCUAAGGCUGACAGUGCUGGCCCCGAGAUGAAUGCCUCCACCUCCUGUGUCCAGGCAGCAGCACAGAAGACCCAUUUGAUAGCACAGACAUAUAUCUCACAAUUAAAUUUUUUCAAACCAAGAGGUGACAGACUGACCUUAACAAAUUCUGUGAAAGAUAUGGCGCUAUCUCCAUCCUGAUCGGCCUCCUGGAUGGUCCUAUCUGCAAUGCUGCCCAGCUGUUCAUCAGAGAUAUUCACUCCAACCAUCAUGCGUAGCACCUGCAGGACCAAGAGCCAGGGCUUAGGGGUAUUUCCCUUCAAUGAAAGAUAAAGCCACCCCACCCUCUUUCCCUUGGAUAUCCUCACACAUAACAGGCAGCAAACUGAGACCCUUAUCUUCUAAUCUAAGUCAUCCCACAUGACGAUGUGAACAGAACUCUCUGGCAAGCAAGAACUUUCUGGAUAGGAAGGCACAGUAUCACUUGGAAGAGUUCUUUCCUUUUUGCACUUCUCCAUUCUUCCUGACCAGGAGGUAGCUUUGAUGCCCAAUGGCACAGCAGCCAUCCUGAGACCAGGAAGUGAAAGUCUUAUGUGCUAUGGAAUAAAGAAGCCUGGUUCCUAGACAUCAUGUGGGCACUGUACUAACCUCGACAAUCUAUCCCUAGAUUUCUUGUUGCUCGAGAAAAACUAGUUCAUUAUUAGUUUAAUGCAGUUUGGUAGGGGUUUUCUGAAAUCCCAGUUGCCUAAGAUGGAACAUUAACCUAACUAUUCCUAAAGUGUAAUGAAGAAAUAAAGGUUGUUGGAAGGUUAAAUACUAAAGCUCCCUUUCCAGAGAAAUAAUAAACACAUUGAAAGAAGGCUGUGAGAACUACAAUAAAGAGAA